GCACAAGCGGUGGAGCAUGUGGUUUAAUUCGACGCAACGCGAAGAACCUUACCAGGGCUUGACAUCCCCUGACCGCGUAUGAAAGUACGUUUUCACCCUCGGGUGACAGGGAGACAGGUGGUGCAUGGUUGUCGUCAGCUCGUGUCGUGAGAUGUUGGGUUAAGUCCCGCAACGAGCGCAACCCCUACGUUUAGUUGCUAACGCGUGAAGGCGAGCACUCUAGACGAACUGCCGUUGACAAAACGGAGGAAGGUGGGGAUGACGUCAAAUCAUCAUGCCCCUUAUGACCUGGGCUACACACGUGCUACAAUGGUUGGUACAACGAGUUGCGAGUCGGUGACGGCGAGCUAAUCUCUUAAAGCCAAUCUCAGUUCGGAUUGUAGGCUGCAACUCGCCUACAUGAAGUCGGAAUCGCUAGUAAUCGCAGGUCAGCAUACUGCGGUGAAUACGUUCCCGGGUCUU
rnacentral:rRNA from 1 species